CUUGAGCUGCAGCUACUGUCACCGUUCAUUAACUCCGACGGUAGUGAUUUUGCAUGCCGCCAAAAAAGAAAACCGGGGCAUCCGGAUUACCCAUCACGCCUUGAAAACGCUGAAAAAAAAAAUACAGCUCGUCGCACUUCUCUCUCUCCUUUCCCUCAAAAUUCUCUCUCUACCCUCUCCUAACCUUCUUCCCUCGAUCUUCUCUCUCUCUACCAACUCUCAACCUUGUCUCUCUUUUAUCACGCUAUCCCUAAUGCUCCUCACUGAAACUUCUCUCUUUCAGCUUUCUCUCUCUAAAUUUAUGGGUUUUUACCUGUGUCUCGAUUCUUCAUAGGAGAGAGCCAGCUUCUGAAGAGCUUUCUCUCUCUAAAUUUCUGGGUUUUUACCUGUGUCUCUAUUCUUCAUAUGAGAGAGCCAGCUUCUAGAGGGGUGCAUAAAUAGAAGAUGAGCAGCGAAAGCUCGCCCUAAUUGCAGCAGAUGAUGAUGCUUUAUCGGGGAUAAGUGGACUUCAAAUUGAUGGUGAUGAAUUCCCAGGACGGGAAAUUAAAGCAUGUGGAUUCUCCAUAGAGCCUGAUUGUAAUUUUGUACAAAAAAUAUGGAAUAUUUGUGUCUUGUUUUCCAUAUUUGUUAUUGCUAGUGUAAGCACGUUGAUCGUGUUCUGAGUGGAUUUUUCGCCUUGUUAUUGCUAAUUCAAAUGGUUUUUUUGUCGA